GGAGCUGUGGCUCAGUGGUAGAGUAUCUACUUUGAAUGCAGAAGGUCCCAGGUUCAAUCCCUGGUAUCUCCA